GGAAGUAAAAGUUGUAACAAGGUUUCCGUAGGUGAACCUGCGGAAGGAUCAUUAUUGUAUAACCGAGAUGCGAGGGCUGUCGCUGACCCGAAAGGUCGUGCACGCCCGAGUGCCCUCACACACAUCCAUCUCACCCCUAUGUGCACCACCGCGUGGGUCCCCCUUUGGCUUGUUCGGAGGGGGGCUUACGUUUUCACACAAACUUUGUAUGCAGUGUAGAAUGUAUUUUUUGUUUUUGCGAUCACGCAAUCAAUACAACUUUCAACGACGGAUCUCUUGGCUCUC
rnacentral:misc_RNA from 1 species